UACGUAGGUGGCAAGCGUUGUCCGGAUUUACUGGGCGUAAAGCGCACGUAGGCGGCCUCGCAAGUUGGAUGUGAAAUCCCUCGGCUCAACCGAGGACGUGCAUCCAAAACUGCUUGGCUUGAGUACUGAAGAGGAUCGCGGAAUUCCCGGUGUAGAGGUGAAAUGCGUAGAUAUCUGGAGGAACACCGGUGGCGAAGGCGGCAUCCUGGACCAAUAUUGACGCUGAGGAGCGAAAGCCAGGGGAGCAAACGGG
rnacentral:rRNA from 1 species